rnacentral:lncRNA from 1 species
AUGAAAGCAAAUAUCCAAGGUAUCCCAGUAUCUCACAUUCCGGAUGGCUUCCAAAUUCCACCUGGUGUAAAAGUGACUGGAGGACCCAUUACAUUUGAAAGUGAGAGAAACUCUAGCUCUCCAAUGAAUCCAGUCAACGAAGCUUCUGCAAGUACUUUGGCUCAUCCACAUCCACAAGGUCUCCUGAUUUCUCAAAGUCCUUCAACAUCACAAGAGUGUGCCACAAAUCCAAAGAGGCAGAAGAAAGGCAGAGUGUUCACCAAAGAUCAAAACCAGGUACUGCAAGAACAUUUUGAGAAGUGCAAGUACCUGACGAAAGAGGAAUGCACGGCUCUGGCUCAAAGAUUUGGCAUUGAUGAGCACCAUAUCAAGAUCUGGUUCAAGAACAGGCGUGCUAGAGCAAAACAGAAAAAGGAUGGAGAAGUACAUGUGAAUCUUUCCAACAGAAACCAGGAUACAUAUGCCACACCAACAGGUUCUGUCCUUCUUGGAAGUUCUCAUCCACCAGUGAGCCAGCCCAUUACUUUUAAAGACCCAGAGUCCAUUGUCUCGAUGAGGGAGACACAUGUCAGUGUCAACUCUCAUCCUCCACUAAGCCAAAGUCUUAUUGGAGAACCAUCUGGUGAAUCACAUGCAUCCUCAGGUGAACUUCAAGAGAAAGAUUCAUCAAAGACUGGUAAACACAUUCCAGCAUCAAAAACAUCUGCAGACCUUUCCACUAAGGCUACUGGAAGUGGAUGGGAGACUCAAUCACCUGACUUCAUUCUAGACCAAGAUAAUGAUCAAGGCUCUUCUGCCAUGCAGGACGAACUGUUUAUUCAACAACUGUCUGAAUUAGAGGACUCUCUAGAAAACCUAUCCCCACCUGACUUCUUUGAGAACUUCUCACUUCUUGACCUCUUUUAACAACUCUUGAUCAGGAUGGUUCUAGCACUACUGACCUCAACUACCAUACUAUAUGGAAAACAGGCAGUUGCUACCUAAUGCAAUUUGGUUUUCUUUUCUGAGACAAAUUUCUGAUUCUGUGUAGCUCUGGCUGGCCUUGAUGUUUUGAGAACUGUUUGCUUUACUUCCCACAUGUUGGUCUUUACAAUAUGUGGAUAUGAAUUUGGAAACAAGAAUAUUAAUAUUUCAGUGACCUUUUUGUUGUUUUUGUUUCCUUUCAUGGUUAAUACUUUAUGGGUAUACAAUAUGUAAAUCUUUUGCAGAUAUUGUGAGAGCAUGUUUCGUCAUUUAGUUCAGGCUGGCUUCUACAUUCUGGUUAGCCUUUUUUGUUUCCUUGUUGUGAGAUUCCAGGUAUGAGCUAGGCCUCAUAUACACUUGGCCUAUGAGUUUCUUGGAGUAGUGAAUUGAAUUAAAAAUGUUGUGUUAUUUAUACCUCAUCUUAAUUCAAUAAAUUGAUUUGAAUCAAAUUUCA